GAUGCGGAAGUUGUCCCAAUGAGUUUCAGAGUGAAACUCCUGCCCCUGGGCAAUUUGUGGGAGCAAUGUUCCCUUCUCAUGGUCACCUUCUCAGACUGGGAGUAAAGCAACUGAAUCCAGCAAGGUUUGGCCCAUUUCUCCAUCUUUGGUGAAAGGACAUCAGAAGAGGAGGACUGGCAGGCAGAAAUCUCAGACUGAACACUGCGUUGAGACCUAGAUUGAUUAUUUGGAGAUCUGUGCUUUUCUUUUGGGUGAAAACUUGAAAAAUCUCACUGGAAGAGGCACCAGGAAGAGUGCUUCACUGCACUGUCAUGCAAAGAUCAUUGUUCCGUCAUGCAGCCUGGAAAAUAUUUUGGAACGUUUAGCGCUGGCCAGAUGCUGGAAUCCAAAUGAGUAUCCUUUGUUGGUCGCGUGCAUUCGGUAUAAAAUACAGUAAUGAGCCUGAGCGACGCCACGGAGAAGCUGUGGGAGUAUGGCGACUGUACUUACAUUUUUAGUACAGCCCAUCCCAACUGGAGAUGCAUCGCUGGAGUCACACUGGAGAGAGGCCGUUUGACUGCUCGGAGUGCGGGAUGGGAUUCAGCCGGCUGCUCAACCUGCAGACCCACCCGGCGGGUCCACACCGGGGAGAGUCAAACAACGUAAACAGAGAGUGGAGAGAAGAAGAACAGUUGUGCUCCCAGAUGUUGGACAGAGGAGGAGGUUUCAGUCUGGAGUGAAACUCAAUCUCCGUUCAAAGAGAGAGCUGAGCAGCUUCAGAAGGUCCAAGGGCUGCGUUCAGGCAACAGGGCGGUUCGGAUUGGUUGGAGGACCUGGGUGCUUCCGGUCCUCCGAGGCCUCUCAUUGGUCGGUCGCCAUGAAUGGGCGGGGUGAGAAGGAGUCCCGGCGCGCGGCGGGGUUCCAGAGCUCGCGGACACACGCGCCCCGCCCCCCCCCCAUCCACUGCCACUCUCUCGCCCCGCCCCCUUCCUUGGAGCCUGCGGUUCCGCCAGGGCCGCCGGCUCACGAGAAGCCCCGCCCCCUUCACGUCAGGGGCUGCCGCUCCAAAUAGAUACGGGUCGAGCCGGCGGCACUGCGGC